GCAGGCAGACUGGAUUCUCUCAGCUUUGGUGCGGAUCCGCCACGAGCAAUGAAAAUCACGAUGUGAACUGAGACACCAAGAGGUAAAGGCCACUGAAAGAAACUGAAAAAUUAGAGGCCUCUUUCUUAGGACUGACGAAUGAAGAUGAGAGCUUAAUGGUGAACAGGAUGGCUGCAGAUCGCUGAGCAGAACCCUCUGUCUGAAGUGGAUUCAGAAAACAAGCUGAGCGGGGAUCGUGACCACAAGCUGACUGCCUGGGUGUGAAGUGAGGACAAGAGCUACCUUAAAGUGUUGAGCAUGUUCUUGCUCUUUUCCACCUUGACGGCUUGACUGCUCCUCAUACUCACGAGCUUCAUCCAGUGAGAGGAGGCCUUUGCUGGCUCCUGUGUCAUGAGGAGGAGAGGUCUGGGAUGUCCUGUCAUGGAAGAGCCAAAUGACAACAAUGUCUGUUAGGCCACAUGGAAACUAAUGCUGUCCAGAGAAGAAAGGAAGAUACUUAAAGCUGACAAAUGAAACUAUUUCCAGUUCAACUCAUCUGUGUAAGAGGGGCACACACACUGUAGUGACGAUACAACGGAGGCACAAGCAACUUGCUCAAGGUCUACCUCCAAGCCCAGUUCUCUAUCAUUUAUAAUCUGAUUUAAUGUGAGAAUUUUAAAAAUCAGGUUUUCCUAGUUAUCUUUUUUCCCAUUUUUUUCUAUUUA
rnacentral:lncRNA from 1 species